rnacentral:lncRNA from 1 species
CAGGAUUCUGUGAAAAAAAGGAUUAUACAGGCAAAAAACACUGCAGCUUUUCCUGUGAAUAAGAUUAUUCUUCUCACAAAGUCUAGGCUGAGGUCCUUUGGAAGUGACCCGAACAGAAGAGCACUGGGCCACUGUGUUUUCUGGAGUCUGGUCGGUUCCAGCAUCCUGCAAAAUCAGUGGAAGUCCUUCCUUUGAUUUCAGUGGGAGCUGGAUGAAAUCUGUAAUUUAAAAAUUACUAAAGCAGCUGGAAUUUGAGACAAGCCCUCGGAUUGAAAUCUACAGAUGUCUGAGAUAACUUACAAUUACUGUAUCUGAGGAAGAGUAACGUGGGACUUUAUUGCACAGCAUUUUCCCUAGGUACUUACAGUGAAUUAUUGAAAUAAGACAUAUGGUUUUGAACAGUGUUACAUUCAGCAUUGCAUAUUCUGAACAUUUCUGGGUUUCAAAUAAAACAG